rnacentral:piRNA from 1 species
UAAAGCACGGUCAUAUGGCUAGAGAGCUGGC